GCAAGGCCGAAAUCUCCCAAUCUGGCAUUCAUUUCAUUAUCUAAGAGUACAUUAGCAGGCUUGAUGUCUCUGUGAAUGAUUACUUGAACCCAUUGUUGAUGCAAAUAGAAGAUCGCAGAUGCCACAUCUUUGAUGAUCUUGAAUCUUUGAUUCCAAUUUAGUAUGCUAUUGGGUUGGCCAUAAAGGAACCUGUCAAGGCUUCCAUUGGCCAUAUAGUCAUAAACCAGAAAGAGUUCCUCCUUGCGCCUACAAUAGCCAAGCAGGCGAACCAAAUUUGGGUGCCUGAGACGGCCAAUUGUUGCUAUUUCAGCUAUGAAUUCUCUCACUCCUUGUCCAGACUCCUGAGAAAAUCUCU
rnacentral:misc_RNA from 1 species